ACAGCGCUUUCUUUGAUGUGGGCAAGCCAUUCUGGGUGGUCCUCUGCCAGCGUCUCCCACGUCUCCGAGUCAAUUUCAAAGUUCUUCAGAGAGACCUUGAGAGUGUACUUGUACCACUUCUUCUGACCUCCAUAGCCUCCCAAACGCUGAGCUGGCUCUGGCAAUGCUUACAUCAACUUCAUUAUUUAUGUUGACAUCCUGGAAAACACACUGCCAAGAGUCAUUGAAGUCCAAUGGCAAGACAAAAGUAAAGAUGAUUGGUG